UUCUGAUGAUAAUGAUGAGCAUGUGAGUAUCCAGAAACCAACAAAAAAAGCCUACAUCUAUGUAUGUAUCUGAAUGAAUCAUUUUUUUUCUAUUUUCGAAUCUUUUGAUUCUCUUUCUUUUCUCUUUACUAUUCAAUUAGGUUCAGCCCAAAUGUUUGUAAAGAUGAUGAUGAUGAUGAUGAGGAAAAAAAGAAUUAUAUAUUACCCCCUCUUCUCAAAGAAUAUACGAUUUUGAUGUAUAUACAUUGAUUGUCAUUUUGUGUUGGAUGGGUGGAUUGUGUGGGGUGUGCCAUUGGAAACGCUGGCCUAGUCGAAUACAAUAAUAAUACUACCCAUCAAUUCAAGUAAAGUUAAGCAGCCAAAAAUUCAUUCGAUUCAAAGUCAAAUACAGGAAUCAAACCGAAGAAUAAUAAGAACGAAAAAAAACAUCAUAUCACAUCACCGAAUCCGAAAUAGAAGAAAAAGCUUCUUGUACAUUCUCUCCUUGUUAUUAUCAGGGACUCAAUACAAUUGAAGUAUUAUUAUUGUUAUAUAUCUGCUGCGCAGGACUGUAUGGAUAGUAAUAUCCCGGAUCGAAUCAACUUGAACACAAGAAGAAAUUUACGGUUAUUGUUUGAUACAUUUCUUGCUUUCGCCAUCUCGAAUGAAAAACUACAGCAGCAGUAUUUGGAACCAUCAUCCCAAAGAAAUAUAUGAUGAUGAUGUUUAGAGAAUCCAAUGAUUCUAUUAUAAGCUAAAUUGUCUCGAUGUGUAUAUAGAACAAGAAGAAUAAUGUUGGAUGCGCUAAAAGCUUACUCGAUAGUUUCACGAUUCACUACAUGUUUCUUGGAUUCUCUUGUGUGUUCGGUGUGAACAAAUUGUCUACAAACAAAUGAUGCAAAGUUUACAAGAGAAACAAUAACAAACACACACAAAGAGAGAAAAAAUUAGUCCACCGGAUUUGUUGUUGCUGUUCCCCAUCAUCAUCAAAUAAUGCAUGAUUCAUGUACACUGGCCCUAAAUUCUGAAUGUGAUGGAAUGCAUCAUGCCACUACCCAAACGAUAUUUCAAACCAUUACACUUAUAUAUCAAAUACGAAUAGUGUUGAAAAUUUCAUUUUGGGGCCGCAUCAUUUAUAUGAUAUUCUGAUGAUGAUGAUGAUGAUGCUUGAGCUUCCGUUUUUUUUUAUUAUUUCGAGCAAGUCUCAAAAUCGAAUGGAAUGAAGGAAGAACAUCAAGAACACAUACACACACUCACCAAGUCAAAAGAAGAAGAAGAAGAAACCAUCUAGCUAUCUAUUGCCGUUAUAUUGCCAUCAACCAAUUCAUUCAAGUCAAGAAAUGGGAAAAAAAUAGUGGUAUCCAUUUGGAUUUAACAUAUCCACACUUUCUGGUUCCUGGUGCAUAUCUGCUGUGUAUUCUUGAAUUCAUUUUCGUCCUUGCAUAUAUCAUCACAUUCAUUUAUUGAUUCGAACAAAAAAAAAUUCUGUGUUUCAAAAAGCUUUUCAUCUUUUUUUUCUUCUUCUUCUUCUUCUAAAUGAUCAUGAUGGAUAAACGACACAAAAUAGAAAUCUGUACU